rnacentral:lncRNA from 1 species
AACCCUGAUCAGAUCAUCCGAAUCAUGCUCAACUCAAACAGUCCUGUGACUCCUCACAAGGACUACCCUGGCCAAGAUUUUGCUAAAUUGAAACACGACUGUACACAGCUCCUAAACUGGAGUGGUCAAUCCCAUUUUGACACACGCACCGACAAGUCAAGUACUUGACUACACCCAGCAGCCUUCCGUCACUGAAUUAGAAAUUCAGAUAGUCCAGUGCCUAAGUGCAGUGAGUUGCUUGCAAGUCACCGUGGCGGUCUCAGAUCGGAGGGACAUUUAUACCCAUAUUCCAUCGGAGCAAAUCUUGACAGCAGAAAUAGCUCCAGAGUUGGUCACGUUCAGUGCAGAUGUACCCUUACAUCUCACCUGUAUGCCAUACCAGUAUCUCCACACUCAUUGGUUAAGAGGAC